GAUUUCUGGUUUAAUGCACCUGGCCCGCGGCCAAUAGGCUUGUGAGUGCCGGCGCGCGUUUACCAUCCUUCUAGAAAACGAUUCUGCCAUUCACCUCUGGCCGGCCAAUACUAGCACCCCCAACUAUCCCUAUCAAUCAUUACUUCAGUUAUAGAAACCAACAAAAUAGAACCGAAGUCCUAGAUUAUUAUUCCAUGCUAAUGUAUUCAUAGCAAAAGCCUGCUUUAAACACUCUAAUUUUUUCAAAGUAAAAGAUCUAGAUCGCGGUCCCAAAUUCUUGGAUUCGGUCAAGACUAACUUAUGCGAAAGCAUU
rnacentral:rRNA from 1 species